rnacentral:snRNA from 1 species
GGGUGUGAGGGCGAUCUGGCUGUGACAUCCAUCACCUCAUUGAUCUGGCUGGCUAGGCGGGUGCCCCCUUCCUCCCUCACCGAUCCAUGUGCGUCCCUCCUGAAGCUGCUCACUCGGUCGAAGAGGACGGCCUUCCCCAAAUAGACGGACCGGUUCUCGGUCGAGGGUAUAUACGAGUAGCUGCGCUCCCCUGCUAGACCCUCCAAACAAGCGCUCAAGAAAUGUGCUAACCCCACACUUCUGGGAAAGGAGGGGGAGCUUCUGGGCGGGCACGUAGCUGCCCGAGGGA